AACGUUCAUCUUCUCUCUAAUCAAGAAGACGGAAGUAGGGUCAAACCCGAAGGAACGCGCC
rnacentral:ncRNA from 2 species